rnacentral:rRNA from 1 species
GAUGAACGCUGGCGGUAUGCUUAACACAUGCAAGUCGAACGGGGUUCAUAGUCACCUAGUGGCGGACGGGUGAGUAACGCGUGAGAAUCUGGCCUCAGGUCCGGGACAACCACGGGAAACGGUGGCUAAUACCGGAUGUGCCAUAUUGGUGAAAGAUUAAUUGCCUGAGGAUGAGCUCGCGUCUGAUUAGCUAGUUGGUGGGGUAAAGGCUUACCAAGGCGACGAUCAGUAACUGGUCUGAGAGGAUGACCAGUCACACUGGGACUGAGACACGGCCCAGACUCCUACGGGAGGGAGCAGGGGGGAAUUUUCCGCAAUGGGCGAAAGCCUGACGGAGCAAUACCGCGUGAGGGAGGAAGGCUCUUGGGUUGUAAACCUCUUUUCUCAGGGAAGAACAAUGACGGUACCUGAGGAAUCAGCAUCGGCUAACUCCGUG